rnacentral:rRNA from 1 species
UACGAAGGGGGCUAGCGUUGUUCGGAUUUACUGGGCGUAAAGCGCACGUAGGCGGAUCGUUAAGUCGGGGGUGAAAUCCUGGAGCUCAACUCCAGAACUGCCUUCGAUACUGGCGAUCUUGAGUCCGGAAGAGGUGAGUGGAACUCCUAGUGUAGAGGUGGAAUUCGUAGAUAUUCGCAAGAACACCAGUGGCGAAGGCGGCUCACUGGCCCGAUACUGACGCUGAGGUGCGAAAGCGUGGGGAGCAAACAGGG